rnacentral:rRNA from 1 species
CCAACCCUGUGUCUACUGUACCUUGUCGUUGCUUCGGCGGACCGGUUGACCAACUGGUCUUGA